GAUGAAGAACGUAGCGAAAUGCGAUACUUGGUGUGAAUUGCAGAAUCCCGUGAACCAUCGAGUCUUUGAACGCAAGUUGCGCCCGAAGCCAUUAGGCCGAGGGCACGCCUGCCUGGGCGUCACACGUCGUUGCCCCCCCCAUCUACUCCUUCGGGAUUGCGGGGGGCGGAUGAUGGCCUCCCGUGUGCCUCGCCGCGCGGUGGGCAUAAAUGCCAAGUCCUCGGCGACGCACGCCACGACAAUCGGUGGUUGCGAAACCUCGGUUGCCCGUCGUGUGCGGUCGUCGCGCAUCGAGGGCUCGAAAAAAUUGCCGGGUUCCGGCUCGGCUUUCAACGCGACCCCAGGUCAGGCGGGGUUACCCGCUGAAUUUAAGCAUAUCAAUAAGCGGAGGA
rnacentral:misc_RNA from 1 species